UUAGGGUAUAUACUAUUAAUCAUGUGUUUAGACAUAGUAUUCUAACAAUUUUCAAGAUUAAAUAUCUAAGUGGGAGAUUGUUAGGGUAUAUACUAUUAACCAUGCAUUUAGAUAUAGUACAUUAUAACAAUUGUGAUGGUUAAAAGUCUAAGUGGGAGAUUGUUGGGAUAUAUACUAUUAACCAUGUGUUAAGAAAUAAUAUUUAUUAUAGAAUAAAUAUUUGCUCAAUUUUAAUAGAUCAUAUAUUCGUUUAUGGUGUCUAUUUACUUAUAUUAUUCGUUUAUGGUGUUUGUUUACUUAUGUAGCAGAUGUUUAUGGUGUUUGUUUACUUUAUGCAGUAGAUGAUUUAGUUAGAGGAUUAAAUCAUCGGUUCUUAUAAGUAUAAAGUUUUUUGUUCACAAUCUAGGAUGGAAAUUGGACAUGCCAUCGGUACGAUUGUAGCACAAGAUUAUAGGUAAUUUAUCUUGAUUAUGGUAACGGUAUAGUUCCAACUUCUUGUGCUAGUGCAUUUUGUAUGUAUUGAACG
rnacentral:lncRNA from 1 species